rnacentral:rRNA from 1 species
GAAAUCUGGCCCCUUUGGGGUCCGAGUUGUAAUUUGUAGAGAGUGCUUCGGGUGAGACCACGGUCUAAGUCUAUUGGAACAUUACGUCAUAGAGGGUGAGAACCCCGUAUGUGACCGUGGCUCGAGCCCAUGUGAAGCCUCUUCGACGAGUCGAGUUGUUUGGGAAUGCAGCUCAAAAUGGGUGGUAAAUUUCAUCUAAAGCUAAAUACUGGCUGGAGACCGAUAGCGCACAAGUAGAGUGAUCGAAAGAUGAAAAGCACUUUGGAAAGAGAGUCAAACAGUACGUGAAAUUGUUGAAAGGGAAGCGCUGGCAACCAGACCUGUCCGUAGACGAUCAGCCGCUGUUCUCAGUGGUGCACUCGUUCUGCGAUCAGGCCAGCAUCGGUUUCGGCGGUCGGAUAAAGGCCUGGGGAACGUAGCUCCCUUUCGGGGGAGUGUUAUAGCCCCGGGCGCAAUGCGGCAGCCGGGACCGAGGACCGCGCUUCGGCUAGGAUGCUGGCGUAAUGGUUGUCAGCGACCCGUCUUGAAA